ACGUGGGUGAUCUGCCCUGCACUUCGGGAUAAGCUUGGGAAACUGGGUCUAAUACCGGAUAGGAGCCAUCUUUAGUGUGAUGGUUGGAAAGUUUUUCGGUGUAGGAUGAGCUCGCGGCCUAUCAGCUUGUUGGUGGGGUAAUGGCCUACCAAGGCGGCGACGGGUAGCCGGCCUGAGAGGGUGUACGGCCACAUUGGGACUGAGAUGCGACCCAG
rnacentral:rRNA from 1 species